UUAUGGGUUAUGCUGGCUUUG
rnacentral:miRNA from 1 species